GACGAACGCUGGCGGCGUGCCUAACACAUGCAAGUCGAGCGAGGAACUUCGGUUCCUAGCGGCGGACGGGUGAGUAACACGUGGGUAACCUGCCUCAAAGAGGGGGAUAGCCUCCCGAAAGGGAGAUUAAUACCGCAUAAUAUUAAAUUACCGCAUGGUAGUUUAAUUAAAGGAGUAAUCCGCUUUGAGAUGGACCCGCGGCGCAUUAGCUAGUUGGUGAAGUAACGGCUCACCAAGGCCACGAUGCGUAGCCGACCUGAGAGGGUGAUCGGCCACAUUGGAACUGAGAUACGGUCCAGACUCCUACGGGAGGCGGCAGUGGGGAAUAUUGCACAAUGGGCGAAAGCCUGAUGCAGCAACGCCGCGUGAGUGAUGAAGGCCUUCGGGUUGUAAAGCUCUGUCUUUGGGGACGAUUAUGACGGUACCCAAGGGGGAAGCCACGGCUAACUACGUGCCAGCCGCCGCCGUAA
rnacentral:rRNA from 1 species